CAAAGAGUAGUUUAACUAAAAAGCCAGCUUUGGGAGUUGGUGAUGAGGGUUAGAUUCCUUUUUUUUUGA
rnacentral:tRNA from 1 species